rnacentral:rRNA from 1 species
UAAACUAGGAUUAGAUACCCUAUUAGCAUUAAUAUAAAUUUAGUAGUAAGUGUAAUUCAUGAAACUAAAAUUAAUUGGCGGCUCUUUAAAUUUUUUAGAGGAAUUUAUCCUAUAAAGGAGUCAACACCAUAAUCUUACUUUUAUUUAUAUAACACAAAUAAUUUGUAUACCCCUAUUUUGAAAUACAUUGAAGUAUCUUAAUAAAUUUCAUUAAAUCAAAUUUUAGGCCACGGUGCAGUUAAUAUAAAAGAUUGAGAUAAAUUAUAUAAAUUAAUAUUUAGCCAAAUAUAAAAUGUAAUAAAUAUAUUUAGUUAAAUUUAAAAGUAAAUUUAUUUUAAAAAAAUAAAUUGAAUAAAAAUUUAAAUGUGUACAUAUUGCCCGUCACUCUCCUAAGGAGAUAAGUCGUAAACAUAGUAA